AAUAGAUGACGCCGUUGAUUUUUUCUCACAUGUUUGACCAUUCGUCUUAUUCAAAAAUUUUACGUAAUUAUAAUUUAUUUUAUUAUGAGUUGUUUUAUCACUCAUAGUACUUUAAGUGUGAUUUAUAUCUUAUACAAUUGUAUAAAAUUUUUGAAUAAGACGAAUGUUCAAACAUGUGAGAAAAAGUUAACGGCGUCAUCUAUU
rnacentral:pre_miRNA from 1 species